UCCUGGCUCAGAGUGAACGCUGGCGGCAGGCCUAACACAUGCAAGUCGAGCGGCAGCGGGCUGUAGCAAUACAGUGCCGGCGAGCGGCGGACGGGUGAGGAAUACAUCGGAAUCUACCUUGUCGUGGGGGAUAACGUAGGGAAACUUACGCUAAUACCGCAUACGAACUACGGUUGAAAGCGGC
rnacentral:rRNA from 1 species